rnacentral:rRNA from 1 species
UACGUAGGGGGCUAGCGUUGUCCGGAAUCAUUGGGCGUAAAGAGCGCGUAGGCGGCCAGAUAAGUCCGGUGUGAAAGUCAAAGGCUCAACCUUUGAAUGCCGCUGGAAACUGUCUGGCUAGAGUCCGGGAGGGGCGAGUGGAAUUCCUGGUGUAGCGGUGAAAUGCGCAGAUAUCAGGAGGAACACCGAUGGCGAAGGCAGCUCGCUGGGACGGUACUGACGCGGAGGCGCGAAAGCGUGGGGAGCGAACAGG